GGAUGGCACUUGAAACUGCGUAGCUGGAGUCUGGAGAGGGUGGCGGAAUCCCGGUGUAGGAGUGAAAUCCGUAGAGAUCGGGAAGAACACCAGAGGCGAAGGCGGCCACCUGGCCAGAAACUGACGCUGAGGCGCGAAAGCGUGGGUAGCAAACAGGAUUAGAUACCCUGGUAGUCCACGCUGUAAACACUGGAUGCUAGAUGCGGGUGGCGUAGAAGUCAUUCGUGUCGCAGCUAACGCGUUAAGCAUCCCGCCUGGGGAGUACGGCCGCAAGGCUGAAACUCAAAGGAAUUGACGGGGGCCUGCACAAGCGGUGGAGUAUGUGGUUUAAUUCGAUGCAACGCGAAGAACCUUACCUGGGCUUGACAUCCCGGGAAUCGCCUGGAGACA
rnacentral:rRNA from 1 species